rnacentral:rRNA from 1 species
GAUGAACGCUGGCGGCGUGCCUAAUACAUGCAAGUCGAGCGAACAGAUGAGGAGCUUGCUCCUCUGACGUUAGCGGCGGACGGGUGAGUAACACGUGGAUAACCUACCUAUAAGACUGGGAUAACUUCGGGACACCGGCGCUAAUACCGGAUAAUAUAUUGAACCGCAUGGUUCAAUAGUGAAAGACGGUUUUGCUGUCACUUAUAGAUGGAUCCGCGCCGCAUUAGCUAGUUGGUAAGGUAACGGCUUACCAAGGCAACGAUGCGUAGCCGACCUGAGAGGGUGAUCGGCCACACUGGAACUGAGACACGGUCCAGACUCCUACGGGAGGCAGCAGUAGGGAAUCUGCCGCAGUGGGCGAAAGCCUGACGGAGCAACGCCGCGUGAGUGAUGAAGGUCUUCGGAUCGUAAAACUCUGUUAUUAGGGAAGAACAAAUGUGUAAGUAACUAUGCACGUCUUGACGGUACCUAAUCAGAAAGCCACGGCUAACUACGUG